rnacentral:rRNA from 1 species
UCCUCUGUGCAAUGGAACACAUGGCUUGUGCAUCGAUGAAGCCCGCGGCAAAAAGCGAUAUGUAAUGAGAUUCGUUAGCCUCGCGAUUCAUCAAAUUGGUGAACACAUACUGGACCUCUUCUGAGGUACUUGCGUUAGAGUGCUAGUUUUUUAUCAAUUGAUCCCGGUAAAAGGU